AUUGAACGCUGGCGGCAGGCCUAACACAUGCAAGUCGAACGGUAGCACAGAGAGCUUGCUCUCGGGUGACGAGUGGCGGACGGGUGAGUAACGUCUGGGAAACUGCCCGAUGGAGGGGGAUAACUACUGGAAACGGUAGCUAAUACCGCAUCACGUCGCAAGACCAAAGUGGGGGACCUUCGGGCCUCACACCAUCGGAUGUGCCCAGAUGGGAUUAGCGAGUAGGUGGGGUAAUGGCUCACCUAGGCGACGAUCCCUAGCUGGUCUGAGAGGAUGACCAGCCACACUGGAACUGAGACACGGUCCAGACUCCUACGGGAGGCAGCAGUGGGGAAUAUUGCACAAUGGGCGCAAGCCUGAUGCAGCCAUGCCGCGUGUAUGAAGAAGGCCUUCGGGUUGUAAAGUACUUUCAGCGGGGAGGAAGGCGGUGAAGUUAAUAGCUUCACCGAUUGACGUUACCCGCAGAAGAAGCACCGGCUAACUCCGUGCCAGCAGCCGCAGUAA
rnacentral:rRNA from 1 species